rnacentral:rRNA from 1 species
UACGUAGGGACCGAGCGUUGUCCGGAAUCAUUGGGCGUAAUGAGCGUGUAGGCGGCUACUUAAGUCCUGCGUGAAAUCCUGCGGCUCAACCGCAGGCGGUCGUGGGAAACUGGGUGGCUAGAGUGCGGGAGAGGAGAGUGGAAUUCCUGGUGUAGCGGUGGAAUGCGCAGAUAUCAGGAAGAACACCCGUGGCGAAGGCGGCUCUCUGGAACGCAACUGACGCUGAGACGCGAAAGCGUGGGGAGCAAACAGG